ACAUAUGGGCCUGCUCCAAAGCCCCAUGGAGUCAAUGAGAGUCUUUCUGUUGACUUCAGUGGGGUUUGGAGCAGGGCCUAUUUUU
rnacentral:pre_miRNA from 1 species